GAUGAACGCUGGCGGCGUGCCUAAUACAUGCAAGUCGAGCGAACAGAUAAGGAGCUUGCUCCUUUGACGUUAGCGGCGGACGGUGAGUAACACGUGGGUAACCUACCUAUAAGACUGGAAUAACUCCGGGAAACCGGGGCUAAUGCCGGAUAACAUUUAGAACCGCAUGGUUCUAAAGUGAAAGUUGGUUUUGCUAUCACUUAUAGAUGGACCCGCGCCGUAUUAGCUAGUUGGUAAGGUAACGGCUUACCAAGGCAACGAUACGUAGCCGACCUGAGAGGGUGAUCGGCCACACUGGAACUGAGACACGGCCCAGACUCCUACGGGAGGCAGCAGUAGGGAAUCUUCCGCAAUGGGCGAAAGCCUGACGGAGCAACGCCGAGUGAGUGAUGAAGGUCUUCGGAUCGUAAAACUCUGUUAUUAGGGAAGAACAAAUGUGUAAGUAACUGUGCACGUCUUGACGGUACCUAAUCAGAAAGCCACGGCUAACUACGUG
rnacentral:rRNA from 1 species